rnacentral:rRNA from 1 species
AUACGGAGGACGCGAGCGUUAUCCGGAUUCAUUGGGUUUAAAGGGUGCGCAGGCGGCCAUUUAAGUCAGCGGUUAAAUCGUGGGGCUCAACCCCAUUCUGCCGUUGAUACUGGGUGGCUUGAUUGCGGUCGAGGUUGGCGGAAUUCGUUGUGUAGCGGUGAAAUGCAUAGAUAUGACGAAGAACACCGAUUGCGUAGGCAGCUGACCAGACCGCAAAUGACGCUCAUGCACGAAAGUGCGGGGAUCGAACAGGAUUAGAUACCCUGGUAGUCCUCACAGUAAACGAUGAAUACUUGUUUUCGGCGAUAUAAUGUCGGAGGCAAAGCGAAAGCGAUAAGUAUUCCACCUGGGGAGUACGCCGGCAACGGUGAAACUCAAAUGAAUUGGCGGGG